AACUGGAGCACCUGGAGGAAACCCACGCAGACACGGGGAGAACAUGCAAACUCCACACAGAGGACGACUCUGGAUGACCCCCAAGUUUUACAUCACUCAGCUUUGCUGCUCCAUUUCCACAAAUACACUGGGGACUACUUUGGAUUGGAUUCAGACAGGACAUCAGGAAUAUUAGCAGAAAAUGCAGAAGACAACAUUCAGACAUCACUACUGAGAAUCCUUCCUCUAACUGCUAUGAAGAGGAUCACAGUCUCCUGGCUGAGGCCGCAGCCCCGCGGUAACACAACGGAGGGAGAAGGUUAAGGAUGUUUACUACGUGGAAAACAUAACUACAAGCUUACAAUUAAAAA